UUUUUUUUUUUUUUUUUUUUUGUCUCCAGGUAGUUCUGAACUGCUAAUUCCUGCAGGCAGGGUACAAAGUGUGAAGUUGUAGCAUGCUUUCUGUGGUGUGUGGCAGUAGUUGGAAAGAAAGCCUUUAUUCUGCACGAACACUAUGGCUGUCUCCAGGAGACAAGGAGAGUGGAAGGGCGAUUGGCCCGCCUGCUGCCCCGCCCCGCGCCCGACCGCUCAUUGGAGGAGACGAGAGAAUGACGUCCUCGUUGGUGCUGGGUAUCCCCGGGCUUCGGCUGCUUCCCUCCUCUUGAUUGGGAACUGACUGUAAAAAUUAAUCCCAUCCCACCUACAAAAGUCUCAGCAGCAACACUCCUGGAUUAUUGCUUGAUUGAAUAUCCUGGCCAAGACAACUCUAACCUUACAGCAGGAGAUGACAUCAUGAUUCUCCCACUGGUGAUCCAUCUUUGUUUGGGAUGAAAGGUCUGAAAAAGGCAAGGCUUUGAGAAGUCUUCAAGUAUGGGCUAGCCUGGGAGGAAUAAAAUAAAAAUGGCAUCAA